rnacentral:misc_RNA from 1 species
UUGUUCCAAUAACUUGUGAUGGUGUUUCCAACUUACCCAUAGUCACACCAUAUUUUCUCAUUUAUUUCUCUGUUAUAAUUUCAACGCAUAGGAUCCUCACAUUCUCUCCUCCUUUUUAUAACCUUAUUAGAUGUAAACAAUUUGGUCACUUGGACGUGUCCCUGCUUAUUGUUGCAUAUCAGCCCUGAAUACCUUUGAAACUCAAGAUAACUAAAGAAGA